GACCCAGGCCGGGAGGUGGAGGCAAGGGCCUAGGGGGUGGAGCUUAGGGGGGAGGGGACAGCGCCACACCUGAGUUCUCCAGAUUAAGGCCUUGUCGCCCUGAACAAGUCAUGGGUAGGCUCCACGCCCAAGCCCAAGGUGGGGCUUGAACUCAGCGGCCCUGAGAUGGAUGCUCUACCAAAGGAGCCAGCCAGGCACCCCAGAUUUCUGGGAAAUGUGACAUAGCAUUGAUGAUCACCCACAAUCCUACGGCGAGAGAGAGAGAGAGAGAGAGAGAGAGAGAGAGAAGAACCAUUGGCUCAGUUAUGAUCAUGUGACAUUUGACAUCACACAGGUACAACUCGUAUUGCAAGACAUCGUUUGUCAAGUUAAAAUUUAUUAGAAGUGAUUGCUUAUCUUGUGGAUCACACACAGAAGAAGUCACUUGACAUCCAAGGUUUUACUGUAAUCUCUAUACCCAAGGUGGGACUGGAACUCACAGCCCUGAGAUCAAGAGUCGCCUGCUCUACUGGCUGAGCCAGCCAGGGGCCCCCAAACUUUUAAUGAUUAAAACAGUUUUAAAUUUACCAAAAAUAAUGAGAAUAUUACAGAGAGUUCCCAUACAUUUCACGUCAAGUUUUCCUUAUUAACAAUAUCUUAUAUUAUUAUGGUAAAUUUGUCACAAUUAACCAAUGUUGAUACAUUAUUAGUAUCUAAAGUUCAUACUUUAUUCAGAUUUCCUUAGUUUUUGCCUAAUGUCUUUUUCCGUUCCAUCGUCCUCCAGGAUACUACACUACAUUUAGUUGUCAUGUCUCUUUAGGCUCCUCUUGAGUGUGGCAGUUUCUCAGACUUUCCUUAUUUCUGAUGACCUUGACAGUUUUGAGAACCAGUUGUGUAUUUUGUAGAAUGUCACUCUAUUAGGAUUUGUCUGAUGUUUUUCUCAUGAUUAGACUUAGGUUAUAGUCUUUUUUGUUGUUUUAUUUUAUUUUUUUUUUGUUUUUAAUGUUUAUAUAUUUUUGAGAGAGAGAGAGAGACAGAGUGUGAGUGAGGGAGGGGCAGAGAGAGAGGGAGACACAGAACCUGAAGCAGGCUCCAGGCUCUGAGCUGUCAGCACAGAGCCUGACUCAGGGCUCAUACCCCUGAGCUGUGAGAUCAUGACCUGAGCCAAAAUAGGAUGCUUAAUCAACUGAACCACCCAAACACCCCAGAUUAUAGAUUUUUGAAAGAAAGACCAAAAGACAGAUUAUCUACAAAAGGGAGGAGUAUUUGGCUGACAGCAAACCUGUCAAUGGCUUCAAUGGAAGACAGAGAAGACAGGGCUGAGGGAACAUGCUGAGGGAAAAUCUGCCAACCGAGAAUUCCCGCUCAGUGAGACUAUUUUUCAAGAACAGCAUAAAAUAAAAACACUUUCAGAUAUAAGAAAAACAGAGAUUUUCGUGUUGUAAGGGUUAAAUUGUACUGUAGGGCUAACGCUUAACUUGAAAGAUAACCACUUUGUUCUAACACUGAAGGUCAAAAGAUAACAACCUUGCUUUUACUCUUGUAAAUCAUACUUCAUACUCUUGUGAAUCAGGUUUUACCAAUGAAGGAAACAAAACCUCAAAAAAGAGCAUCAGAGACAAGGUCAAGGAGAUCCACUGGUUGCAACUUAGCUGCAGAAAGUCUAAAAUAAUCACCUCAUUCGAUAACUGUUUCUGACUCAUCUGGCAACUGUUUCUAACUCAUCUGGGAACUGUUUCUCUGUUCUGUUCCCAGAUAAUGAUAAAACGAUGUGAUCGGCUUUAAAAACUCUGUACCCCGGCUGUUCGAGGCCACACUCUUAUCAAGAGUGUUGGUCCCCAUCGGUCGGCCUUGCCUCUCAUUGUAAUAAACUUUGUUGCAACUGUCACUGGUGCCCGUAGCAUUCUGUUUCAGGAGUCGUGUGGAUGCAACAUUUGGUGGGUUGGCCGGGAAAGUUAAAGGUCUGAAACAGGGCCCUUUCCUUGGAUUGUUCCGCGGGAAAGUUAAAAGUCUGAAACAGGGCCCUUUCCUCGGAUUGCUCCACCUACCCCUGAGAGGAAGCUCGGGAUUGGGAGAGGUAAA